rnacentral:lncRNA from 1 species
GGCAGUACCAGAAGGCAUUGGUUAAGUGUCCCAGGAACCACACAAGCAGUGACUCCUAAAGAAGUUCAGAGGAAGGAGAGAACCCAUGGGGAGGGGGUGCAGUGGGGGUGGGUCAGGGUGGGCUCCCUGGAGGAGAAGUCCAUCUGGUGGGGAGAAUGGUCUAGGCAAGGAUGCAGACUGGCCAGUAAGGUGGGUCCAUGCAGGAAGCUGAGGGAGGUGGAAGGCCCGUGGGGCUCGAGCGCAUCUGCCCGCCCUAGUCGGGGAAGAGCAGGAAGCCGGAGAAGACGCUGUCAGAGCCCUGGAUGCCCACCAUGUCGUAGUAGUCAUUGACAGCCAGCCACACCUCCUCGCCCACCUGCAACCUCAGCAGCACACCGCCCGAGUUGACCUGAUUGGUUUUGGACGUGUGGCCACAGAAGGUGACCACUUUGACGCCGCUGCGGUACAGCAGCACGCACAGGUUGGCUGUAUGCGACGCGUGGUAGACAAAGUAGUAGAGGCCGGGGACUUUGCAGGUGAACUUGCCAGUGCUCGUGUCAUAAUCUCCCUGCGGGUUGGUGAGGACCGCGUUGAAUCUGAUCAGGCUGUUGGGUGCAGGGGGCUGGUGGGUCUGCCGAGUGACCGUGAACACUGACUGGAAUUUCUGCUUGUAUCUGCCCUCCUCACCUGGCUCUCCAGGGAUGCCCAUGGGGCCGGGCACCCCUGGCAUCCCAGGGGGUCCCAUGGGGCCAUUUUUCCCAGGAUGGCCGGGUAAGCCGGGUUCUCCCUUCUGCCCUUUGGGUCCUCGGAUCCCGGGAAUGGCUGGGAUUCCUGGCUCCCCCUUGGGCCCCGGCAGUCCGUCGUACCCAUCCUUCCCUGGUGCCCCGGGCAGGCCGGGCAUCCCUGGGAUCCCGUAGCAGCCUGUGUUGGCUUGGCCCCUGAGGGGCAGCAGCAGCAGGAGCAGCAGCAGCUUCAGCCCAAGGUGGGGCAGGGAGCUGGGCCCCACGUCCAUCCCGGAGAAGGAACUGCAGGUGGGCGGUUUCUGGCCUGGCACAGAGAUGUCCUCAGAUCUGCUUCCCCUCUCCCAGGCAAGAGGACACGGUG